rnacentral:rRNA from 1 species
UACAGAGGGUGCAAGCGUUGCUCGGAAUCAUUGGGCGUAAAGGGUAGGUAGGUGGUCUCGUUUGUCUGGGGUGAAAGCCCAGGGCUUAACCCUGGAAGUGCCCCGGAAACGGCGAGACUAGAGUCCUGGAGAGGGUCGUGGAAUUCCCGGUGUAGCGGUGAAAUGCGUAGAGAUCGGGAGGAACACCAGAGGCGAAGGCGGCGACCUGGACAGGUACUGACACUCAACUACGAAAGCGUGGGGAGCAAACAGG